UGAUCAAAACCACCAUCCUCUAAACUGAUGUCACCUAUUUACAGACUAAUAGACACAGAAGGGACCUCAGAGAUCAUCUAAUCCAAGCACCUCAUUCUACGGACAAAGCCCAGAGAGAAGAAACGAAUUCCCCAGGAUGUUCUAAGUCGGCUGGCUGCAGUGCAUGUUAACAUUAGAACACCUGGGGCAGAGCUGGCUCCCAGAUCAACAGGAGAGACUUGCCAACAAGCUUGCUUAGGGUUUCUCUGCAGUGGAAAUUUUAGGACUGAGGCCUGUUUGGAAAUACCAGAGAUAACUUGAGAAAAAAAAAAGUGGCAGUGCUUCCUAUUAGAACAAGACAGAAAACCACACAGAUCGUUUUGAAGAAGCCAAGCUUUUGACUGGACGUAAGAGGAAAUGGUGUAGAAGAGCCCCCUUCUCGCUGAGCGUACUUUGGCUUGUUUCCUUGGUCAUAAUUGGAAAAAGCUUUGUUGCUCUCCUGCCGACGUGCUCACUGCAUAACUUGGGUUCCGGUAUCAACGUGAGGAAAGGGAAAAAGCACUGAAUGCAUGUAGAAAAGGAAGUCCUUCCCUCUAUCUUUUCAACCACUAAGUAUGUUGAUUCAUUAAAGUCCAAACUUUUGCUGGCACCAGCUUGACCUCCACUGCCCUACCUUGGCUUCUCGUGAUCACCUCCAUAAAAUCUACAGAAAGAUUUUUGUCACACGUUGAAGUCAAGCACCUGCACACAUGUUGGGUGAUGGUCCGUUGGCAGCCAAGAGCGCAGUCAGAAAAGCCCUCUGCCUGCACGCAGAGCCUGAUCUUUCCUGCAGCUCUUCGUGUCCCUCAUGGCUAGGAGUUAUCUGCAGGCCAACAGAGAAGACAACAUCGCUCCUCUCAUAGCUCCGUGGAAUGUUGCUGGAUCUUUCCCUUCAUUUCAGUCAUGCUGAAACCUCUUGCUAAAUCUCCCUGAACGUGCCAUGUUUAUCUACAGAUGCUGGAUUUUUUUGUUGUUUUUCCUGGAAUGCCCUGGGCUUGAUUUCAGAAGCAGAG